rnacentral:misc_RNA from 1 species
CAAACCUCAAGCCUUUGCUUGCUGUUGGGGUGUUGCAUGUCUUGUAAAAGAGUGCAAGCCCUGAAUUAUAGUGGCGGAGCUGUUGUAGACUCUGAACGUAGUAAUACUAUUCGUUCUGGAAUCUCAGCAGUGCCUGCCGUAAAACCCACUAUAUUUUUCUUGU